UCCAAGGGGGCUUUUUGGCUCUCUUCCUCUCAUGGAAAAUUCUUGCUUUUACACUAUACUUUACUUUCUGUAAAUUACUCGAAAAGCUUUGGGUUUGAAGGCAAUGCUUAUUAAGCCACAUGAGUGGUGGCACAAAUUUUUCCGAAAGGCCUAGAAACUGACUUGAGCGUCGGAGGCUUCACGCUGGAAAAACUUCGGGCGCCUCUGACCGUCUUCUAUGAUUUCAGGUAUUCGCAGAUUAAUCGCCGGUGGUUGCAGGACAUCUAGACGAUUGACCAAUCGAUUCUCUACCAAAUAAAUCUAAAGUUGAUGCGGGAGUUUGGUAUCAAGUCGCUAACCGACUCAAUCGGAUUUCGACAUCAACAUUUGGCGCCGUCUGUGGGGAUCGAUACAAAAAGCCAAUUUGUUAUCUCUAUCAACCAUCAUCUAGCCAAAGCGAAGGCAAAAUAUUAUCAUGUGUGAAUUGAAGCAACCUGUCUUUUAUUUCUGAACUCACGUGAAAGAAGCGAAGCCAAUCGGUAAAAAACUAACCCAAUGUUGGCAUUUAGAAGCUUCAGAUCGGUAAAAUCUGUCACAUAUUCAUCUCCACUUGUAUUUCCAAUUAAAUUACUGCAAUUACUUUCAAUUUAUUUGUCUGUGUGCAUGAUAUAUUGCAUCAAAUGAUCAAUUGUGAUUUGGCUUUCAUGAGCAUGAGAAAUUGAUUAUAGAGGAUAGAUUUAAAAAAAUACAUAUACUGAAUAUAUGAAAUCAUAUCACAAACUAGUGGCCACAUGCUUGUUGGUUUAUAGUCAACUGCUGACCAUGUGCUUACCAUUAAGGUCUUGCACGCAUACAAGUUUAGAUAUUAAGAUUUUAACCACUUUCCCAAUCGGAUUAUGCCAUGGUUUCAGCAUGCAUUUUGAUGGGUUUAAUCAUUUCGAACGAGAUUUAAUUACUAAUUGGAUGCAGAGAUGUGUGAGUUUGUAAUUUCAGAAACAGGUUUCAGAUUAUAUUUAUUAAAAGUGGUGAUACGAGAUCACGCACAGUAAGUGUUCGACAAAAUGAUUGACAGAAUAAAUAAAAAAAUCGCAGCCUCAAAUUGUAAAGAUCAAGCUUAGGACUCUACAGAGGAACAAUCAAGAUGGUGAGAUUAAUUGGACUGGAAAACAAAGGCUGCAACUGAAAUUACAGGGAGUGACGCUCAAUAGAACAUUGCGCAAGAGCCAAGGACUAAAAUCCAGAAUAAUUCUAAGAAGGGAGCAAAGCAGAGUCAAGCUCGGGAUUUGUUUGAUGAGAUUGAUGGAACUUGGGUUAACAUGAGAUCGUAUUUCCUUGAUACAAUGAUAUGACUUUGCUUAAACUUUUAUAUUACCAUUUAUUUGUUGAUUACAUAUUUUAUAUAAUAUGAUUUAUUUUAUAUAUAAAUUCCAAUAUCUAUAGUGUUAGUAAAUGGUGAUAGGCACCUUUAGCAAAGGUCUUUAAUAAUAUUGCCAACCAAAUAUUAUAGAUGGUAAUAAAACACCAAGAAUGUUUAUCCAUCAAAGGCCCAAACAUAUAUAAAUAGCUAAAGCACAAGUUGUAAAUGCUGAGCUAUUUUCUGGACAAUUUAUAAGUUACAGGUCAGAAAUUAAAUUUUUGAUAGUUUAUUACAGCUGAUCAAUUUGCAGAGCAAAUCCAUAUUUAAGGAUUUAAAGCAAAAACCUCAAAUAAGAGCACAUCGAAGGCACACAUUUGUAGGAAUCAGAACAGGUUAGAAGUUAUAUUUUGAGUUACAAGCAGUUUUUUCUAUGAAAAUUUAAUUAUUUCUCUAAAUUCUGCUAUGUGAGAUGAGGAUACCUUAUAUUCAUUAAAUUGAUUGUGCUCAUAUUAGGGCUGACGGUAUAACUUAGUUAACUUGAUUUCUUCAAAGUUACUCAAUAUGAGAAUAAUUUAAGAACUGAGAGCUAGGCUAGUGUUGAGAAGCCAAUCAAAGUUUACUAAUAAGGCAUGCAAAGGCUCACCAAGUCUCAAAGCCUGUUUUAUGGCGAGACCAGAAGCCAAGAGUGCCAGGAUCUGCUCGACCAAGCGAAGGCGAGCAGACUACAAAAGUUUCAGAAAUCUUCUAAGGCAUGCAAAGGCUCCAAAGUCUCAAAGCUUGUUUUAUGGCGGAACAGAAAACGAAGCAUGCCAGGAUCUGCUCGACCAAGCAAAGGCGAGCAGACCACAAAAGUUCCAAAAAUCUCCUAAGGCACGCAAAGGCUCCACAAGUCUGCUGUAGGCGAGCAGACCACAAAAGUUCCAAAAAUCUCCUAAGGCACGCAAAGGCUCCACAAGUCUCAAAACCUCCUCGAUAGCGAGACAGAAAGCCAAGCUCGCCAGAAUCUGCUCGACCAUGUGAAGGCGCGCAGACAAUGAGAAUUUCAAAAAAGUUUCUAAGGCAAGUAAAGGCUCCAAAGUCUCAAAGUCUGCUCGAUGGCGAGAUAAGAAGUCAAGCUUGCUAGAAUCUGCCCGACCAUGUGAAGCCGAGCAGAAAGUAAAAAGAAAAAAAAAGGUACUACAAGUAAAAGGCUUACAGUCUCCAAAACUCCUCGCAGUGAGACGAAGUCAAAGUUUGCCUCUCUUGCCCGACUAAGAUUACGCGAGCAAGAGUUAUAUGAGCGAAAAAUGUUCUAAAGCAGAUAAAUGACUAAGUCUUAAAACUUACUUGAAAUGAGAUAAAUACCUAAACUUAUGAAACCUGCUUUACAUGAUUAUGUGAGUAGGAAAAUGGUAUAUUUAAAGGCAUGUAAAAGUUUAAAACUUGAAACUUUUUUGUUAAGGGCAAGGUUAAUUUAAGCAAUCCCGAGCCGAUUUAUGGCAACCACCUCGAGUUCACUUUAAAAUUUAUAUAGUUAUUUCCGAAAGGCCUAGAAACUGACUUGAGCGUCGGAGGCUUCACGUCGGAAAAACUUCCGGCGCCUCUGACCGUCUUCUAUGAUUUCAGGUAUUCGCAGAUUAAUCGCCGGUGGUUGCAGGACAUCUAGACGAUUGACCAAUCAAUUCUCUACCAAAUAAAUCUAAUGCUGGUGUAGAAGUCUGAUAUUAAAUCGCUAAUAGACUAGAUCAGAUUUUAGGCAUCAACAUUGUCUUCUAUUCAAUUUUAUCCAUCAUAUUU
rnacentral:lncRNA from 1 species